UACGGGGGGGGCAAGCGUUGUUCGGAAUUACUGGGCGUAAAGGGCUCGUAGGCGGCCAACCAAGUCAGACGUGAAAUCCCUCGGCUUAACCGGGGAACUGCGUCUGAUACUGGAUGGCUUGAGAUUGGGAGAGGGAUGCGGAAUUCCAGGUGUAGCGGUGAAAUGCGUAGAUAUCUGGAGGAACACCGGUGGCGAAGGCGGCAUCCUGGACCAACACUGACGCUGAGGAGCGAAAGCCAGGGGAGCAAACGGG
rnacentral:rRNA from 1 species